AUUGAACGCUGGCGGCAGGCUUAACACAUGAAAGUCGAGCGAGCGGCGGACGGGUGAGUAAUGUAUGGGAAACUGCCUGAUGGAGGGGGAUAACUAAUGGAAACGGUAGCUAAUACCGCAUACCAUCAGAGGUGCCCAGAUGGGAUUAGCUAGUAGGUGGGGUAACGGCUAACAUGGACGACGAUCCCUAGCUGGUCUGAGAGGAUGACCAGCCACACUGGAACUGCGACACGGUCCAGACUCCUACGGGAGGCAGCAGUGGGGAAUAUUGCACAAUGGGCGCAAGCCUGAUGCAGCCAUGCCGCGUGUGUGAAGAAGGCCUUCGGGUUGUAAAGCACUUUCAGCGAGGAGGCGUUACUCGCAGAAGAAGCACCGGCUAACUCCGUGCCAGCAGCCGCGGUAAUAC
rnacentral:rRNA from 1 species